rnacentral:rRNA from 1 species
GACAGAGGAUGCAAGCGUUAUCCGGAAUUACUGGGCGUAAAGCGUGCGCAGGCGGUCUUUUAAGUCAGAUGUGAAAUCCCCGGGCUUAACCUGGGAACUGCGUUUGAAACUGGAAGGCUAGAGUGCGGCAGAGGGGGAUGGAAUUCCGCGUGUAGCAGUGAAAUGCGUAGAUAUGCGGAGGAACACCGAUGGCGAAGGCAAUCCCCUGGGCCUGCACUGACGCUCAUGCACGAAAGCGUGGGGAGCAAACAGG